AUUGAACGCUGGCGGCAUGCCUUACACAUGCAAGUCGAACGGCAGCACGGGAGCAAUCCUGGUGGCGAGUGGCGAACGGGUGAGUAAUAUAUCGGAACGUGCCCAGUCGUGGGGAUAACGUAGCGAAAGCUACGCUAAUACCGCAUACGAUCUACGGAUGAAAGCGGGGGAUCGCAAGACCUCGCGCGAUUGGAGCGGCCGAUAUCAGAUUAGGUAGUUGGUGAGGUAAAGGCUCACCAAGCCGACGAUCUGUAGCUGGUCUGAGAGGACGACCAGCCACACUGGGACUGAGACACGGCCCAGACUCCUACGGGAGGCAGCAGUGGGAAUAUUGGACAAUGGGCGAAAGCCUGAUCCAGCCAUGCCGCGUGUGUGAAGAAGGUCUUCGGAUUGUAAAGCACUUUAAGU
rnacentral:rRNA from 1 species